CCCUGUGCAGCCAGGUCCUCAUCAUCCUCCCUCAUUCCCGUCUCAAGCCCAGGCCUCAUGGCCAUGGAGUUGGAAACGCUGAGGAGAGAACUGUCCAAGGUCCCAUAUAGCUGUCACCUCCUGCCCCAUUCUGCCGGGUACCUUAGACCUGACUUCUCCCUUCCUAAGUGUCCCCACAGCCAGGGGUAGUGGGUGUCAUUAUACAACCCGAAUGCACGCCCCUCUGCCUUGGCCACAGGCCAGACACAUGACCUGGAGAGGCCAAACCUGUUCGUAGGCUCGGCCCAGCCUUUGGAAAAGGAAGGACUGACUAGGAGUGGCUGUGUGGCUCGGCAGUGGGGCCACCUGCAUGGCGUACUGGAGCGUCUGGCUUGAGUCCACACCCUGCUUGCCUCCCAGGUUCCUGCUAACGCGCGUGCAGGGAGGCAGGUGGUGCUGCAAGUACUUGGGUCCCUCCACGUACCUGGGAGACCCGGAUGGAGCUCCUGGCAUUUGGCAAUGGCUGGACCAGCCCUGUCUGUUGCAGGCUCUUGGGGACUGAACCAGUGGGGAGCCAACCUCCCUCACUCUUUUUCUCCCACUCUGCCUUUCAAAUAAAAAUAAAUUUGACAGGACGUGCUCUCAGUGGAGUGGUUUAGAGGGUUCGGUGCAGACACGGGGACCCUGAUUCUAGAAGCAGGUGGGGGCACAGCAGGCGCCGAGGUUCUCUCCCCCAGCCUUACGCUCCCCUCCCCAAUAGCUUCUUGAUCCUCGACACCAUCACAACCGAGAUAAGGUCAGACAUCCACGUGCAGCUGGCUCUGGAGAAGGGCUCAGACGGCAGAGACCGACUCACCUCCAAGGACUGCAGUGUAUCGCCCGAGGCCGUGCGGAUACAGACAGAAUUCUUCGUCCUACCUCCUAUGCUUAGAGACCAUCCCUUAGCGAUGCGCAUUGAGAGUUUCGCGAAGAGAGCUCUGAGACACCUGAUCGCCCCCGAUUUGGAAGAAACAAUGUGUCCUCUGAUCAACAGCUGGCUCUACAACCUGGAUCAGCGCUUGGUCAAUGAAAUCAGCACGGUGCUGAGAGAGGACAGCUCCCAGGACAGUAGCGCGGGGGCCGCAGAGUGAAGGAGCCCCGUCUGUCCUACACUGGUGAGCCGUGCAGCACAUCCCAUUCACGUUAGGGUCACUAUCAGUGUGUCACUCACUCACUCAUUCAUUCAUAAAGAGUAAGCAAGCAGCUGCUCCAUGGGAGGCACUGUUCUAGAUGCUGGGCUGCGGCAGGGGGUGGGACGGACUGGGAGUCUGAUCUGGAGCUGCCUGGGCAAAUGGACAGUGAAGGAGGGAGUGACCCACAGCCAACUCAGCUCCAGAGGGUGGUGGGUUUGAUGAGGAGAAACCCAGCCAGGAGCAUGCGAGGAAGGGGACGGGGUGGAGGCAGGACAGGCGCCAUCAGGUUAAUAAUAGAGCCAGACAGAGGCUCCUGAAGAAAGAGAGCUUUCAGCUGAGUCCCGAAUGACAAGGCAGAAGACGAUGUCCCAAGACCCAAGAGGGAAGCAGCGCAAGCCAGGGGGUGGCCAGUGCAAAGGCCCAGAGACAGAAGCAAGCGAGUUUCCUUUUUAAAGUAAAAGAAAAAAAAUUGUUUAAGUCGGCUGGAUUAUGGCAGGAACACAGUUAUAGAAGGCAUUUUUAUUUAUUUUUAUUUUUUAAAAGAUUUAUUUAUUUAUUAGAAAGUCUGAGUUACAUAGAGAGAGAAGAGGCAGAGAGAGAGAGGCCAUCCAGUUGCUGGUUUACUCCCCAAAUGGCCGCAACAGCCGGAGCUGUGCCCAUCUGAAGCCAGGAGCCAGGAGCUUCUUCCAGGUCUCCCACGUGGGUGCAAGGGCCCAAGGACUUGGUCAUCUUCCACUGCUUUGCCAGGCCAUAGCAAAGAGCUGGAUUGGAAGUGGAGCAGCUGGGUCUCGAACCAGCGCACAUCUGGGAUGCCGUCUCUGCAGGGGAAGGAUUAACCUACUGUGCCACAGCGCCGGCCCCUUUUUAUUUUUAUUUAUUUUUAAAUUUUAUUUAUUUACUUGAGAUGUAGAGUUACAGACAGUGAGCAGGUGAGACAGAGAGAAAGGUCUUCCAUCUGCUGGUUCACUCCCCAAAUGGCUGCAACAGCCGGAAUUGGGCCAAUCCAAAGCCAGGAUCCAGGAGGUUCCUCCAGGUCUCCCACACAGGUGCAGGGGCCUAAGGACUUCACCCACCAUGCCUCAGCACAGACCCCGGUAUUUGCCUCUUACCAUCUACAUAUAGUGGGGGAGACAGAAAAGAAACAAGUAGGAAGUCAGAUAGCAGUGAAUAUUAUGAGUGCUGUUUGGUUAGAUUUGAGAUAGUGACACAUGAGCAGAGGGUGUUCAGCACAGAAU